UGUCACUAAUUGGGGGGUGGAGUGGGCAUCUGGUAGGCCACCUAAAUGCCGUAGAGGUAGGCGUGUAGAUAUAUAUAUAGACACCUGGGGUCCUUAUGCCGGUAUGUUAUCACUCUGCUGCUGGCACUGGUGUGAGGAAGCAGUGAUGUGGGUGCUGUCUCGAACUACAAAGUGUGUAUGGGGAAGCAGACGCUGAUUGAACCGUGGUGUACCAGUGUUUUGCGUGAUCAUUUCCAUGGACAAGCACCCGCUGGGUAUUGUGGCUGUCGUGGGGUACCUGCUAUAAACGUAGCGUUCCUUGCAUCCGGUAACGUGAGCGGCAGACUGUUUAACUGCAACCAGCAUUUGGAGUGUUGCUGUUGCUGUUCUCUACACGUAUGAUUGUGGUGGUGAUUAUUGUUUAACUAGAUUUUGGUUUGUUUUUCCUCUAGCCUGUUGAUCGUAACGAGUAUUGUAGUGAGAGUGCAGUUAUUGUACAUCACAGGCUAGAGUGGUUUCAUCAUUCCUUUGUUUUGUCCCCCCUCCCUCUCGUGUAGCCAGCCUCGGUGGUGGUGGAGCCAGGGUAGCAUACAGGGCCCUUCUGAGAAGGCAAUCUCCCUAGUUCCCCCUCUUGCACUUAAUGUAUAGCUUAGACGUGUGACAGGAAGUUGCUGUGAAGCAUGAAGUCUUAAGUCCUUAAAUUAAGUUUAUCAGAGUGACAUUUAGUUGCAGUGUGUCUAUAGACAGUGAUCACGUGUGAUUGGGACCCUAACCCUUCUAGUUGUGGUUCUCAUUGUCUUCUCUGGCUCCUGUGCCGUUAGCUUGGUGAUUCCCCACUGUAUUCCCUUGUUAUUUAUUUUACUGUUGAC
ensembl:lncRNA